GACGAACGCUGGCGGCGUGCCUAAUACAUGCAAGUAGAACGCUGAAGGAGGAGCUUGCUUCUCUGGAUGAGUUGCGAACGGGUGAGUAACGCGUAGGUAACCUGCCUGGUAGCGGGGGAUAACUAUUGGAAACGAUAGCUAAUACCGCAUAAGAGUAGAUGUUGCAUGACAUUUGCUUAAAAGGUGCAAUUGCAUCACUACCAGAUGGACCUGCGUUGUAUUAGCUAGUUGGUGGGGUAACGGCUCACCAAGGCGACGAUACAUAUCCGACCUGAGAGGGUGAUCGGCCACACUGGGACUGAGACACGGCCCAGACUCCUACGGGAGGCAGCAGUAGGGAAUCUUCGGCAAUGGACGGAAGUCUGACCGAGCAACGCCGCGUGAGUGAAGAAGGUUUUCGGAUCGUAAAGCUCUGUUGUAAGAGAAGAACGAGUGUGAGAGUGGAAAGUUCACACUGUGACGGUAUCUUACCAGAAAGGGACGGCUAACUACGUG
rnacentral:rRNA from 1 species